rnacentral:rRNA from 1 species
UCUAGUACGGCGAGUGAGCGGCAACAGCUCAAAUUUGAAAUCUGGCCCUCGGGUCCGAGUUGUAAUUUGUAGAGGAUGCUUUUGGUGAGGUACCUUCCGAGUUCCCUGGAACGGGACGCCAUAGAGGGUGAGAGCCCCGUCUGGUUGGAUACCGAUCCUCUGUAAAGCUCCUUCAACGAGUCGAGUAGUUUGGGAAUGCUGCUCUAAAUGGGAGGUAUAUGUCUUCUAAAGCUAAAUAUUGGCCAGAGACCGAUAGCGCACAAGUAGAGUGAUCGAAAGAUGAAAAGCACUUUGAAAAGAGAGUUAAAAAGUACGUGAAAUUGUUGAAAGGGAAGCGCUUAUGACCAGACUUGGGCUUGGUUGAUCAUCCUGGGUUCUCCCUGGUGCACUCUUCCAGUUCAGGCCAGCAUCAGUUCGUCGCGGAGGAUAAAGACUUUAGGAAUGUGGCUCCCCCGGGAGUGUUAUAGCCUAUUGUGUAAUACUCUGCUUUGGACUGAGGUUCGCGCAUCUGCAAGGAUGCUGGCGUAAUGGUCAUCAGCGACCCGUCU